rnacentral:rRNA from 1 species
UACGGAAGGUCCGGGCGUUAUCCGGAUUUAUUGGGUUUAAAGGGAGCGUAGGCCGGAGAUUAAGCGUGUUGUGAAAUGUAGAUGCUCAACCUCUGAACUGCAGCGCGAACUGGUUUCCUUGAGUACGCAUAAAGUGGGCGGAAUUCGUGGUGUAGCGGUGAAAUGCUUAGAUAUCACGAAGAACUCCGAUUGCGAAGGCAGCUCACUGGGGCGCAACUGACGCUGAAGCUCGAAAGCGCGGGUAUCGAACAGG